GUGCUUGCCUUGGUAGCGCAUAUACUAAAGCUGGAAUGAUACAGAGAAGUUUAGCAUGGCCCCUGAACAAGGAUGACAUUCAAAUUCAUGAAGCAUUCCAUUUUUUA
ensembl:snRNA U6 U6 spliceosomal RNA